UACGAAGGGUGCUAGCGUUGCUCGGAGUCACUGGGCGUAAAGGGUGCGUAGGCGGGUCUUUAAGUCUGGGGUGAAAUCCUGGAGCUCAACUCCAGAACUGCCUUUGAUACUGAGGAUCUUGAGUUCGGGAGAGGUGAGUGGAACUGCGAGUGUAGAGGUGAAAUUCGUAGAUAUUCGCAAGAACACCAGUGGCGAAGGCGGCUCACUGGCCCGAUACUGACGCUGAGGUGCGAAAGCGUGGGGAGCAAACAGG
rnacentral:rRNA from 1 species